rnacentral:rRNA from 1 species
GUGCCUAAAACAUGCAAGUCGCACGGGGGCUUCGGCCCCAGUGGCAGACGGCUGAGUAACGCGUGGGUGACGUACCUAUCGGUGGGGAAUAACUGCCCGAAAGGGUGGCUAAUACCGCAUACGCCUGUUGCUUCGUGGCAAUAGGGAAAGCCGCAAGGCGUCGAUGGAGCGGCCCGCGUCCGAUUAGCCAGUUGGUGGGGUAACGGCCUACCAAAGCGACGAUCGGUAGCUGGUCUCAGAGGAUGAUCAGCCAGACUGGGACUGAGACACGGCCCAG